ensembl:lncRNA
CCGUGGCAUCUGGGGGUCCUUCCUCUCACCGCGUGAGGGGGGUGUCCGUCAGUCGGCGGUGCUUGGUUGAACGGCCUGUGGCUGAGGGCCGUGGCUGGCAGCUCGCAUCCUAGGUUGGGAAGUCGGAGAGUGUGGCGCUGGCACAGGCCCCGUGAGCUCAGGGCCUUGUGGCUGUGUGGGCCUGGUUCCCGCUGGGGACGAAGGCCCCGGGGGUCUGCGUCUCAGAGCUGAGCAGUAAGCAGUGGAAGGUCGCGUGGUUUCUGAUGAGAGCCCCGGGCCAGGCGGGCGGCCGUCAGCUGUUCUUGCCUUUUGGCUUGGUGAGGCAGUUGGAGCACCCCUCGCGGUUUGGGGCGCCGCCGGAGGGGUGAGACUUUGGUGCUGCAGCUUGGGGCUCCUCUAGUUCUCCGGCUCGCCCAGUCCACGCCAAGGUGCCCAAACGGGGACCGGGCUGUGGGCCUGGCACUCAGGUCAAGACACUGUGGUGGUUGAUGGCCUGGUCGUGGGGAGCUGGGGGGGAAGAAGAGCACGGAGAGGACAGGUCACAGUGUGAUGCCGUGGGCUUCCGUGGGACGUGCUGCCUCGUUGUGUUCCGAGCGCUGGCAGCGGCUUGUCGGGAAGGUGCCCUGGCUCUGACGGGGCUGGCGAUUGGUGCGUGCCGGGGAAGGCUGGAGGCUUGAAGGCCCGGGGGUGUGCACUGUGGUCGGUGACCUUUGUGGCAGAUGGCGGGCCUUGUUCCAGAGCGGUGGCGCUCUGCGGUUCUCUCCACGGUUCCUUGAAGAGGGGCCCGGCACGUGACUGCCGGGCGGCCGGCCGCCGCUGCUCAUCGAUUGCUUGGGCGACCGUGGCCUUGGAUCCUCCGCCGUCUCAGGCGCGGGGUCUCCGAGGAGAAAGCGUUCCUCCAGCACGGUCCGAUUUUCCUGGCGCGGUUCGCCUCAUGCCUCGUCGCAGGGCUUUAGGUUUCUUCGUGGAAGCCUGUGGGCCUGGCGGAGACGGCGGGUGCCGUGACCCGAGCUGCCCUGCCGCGCACAGACGUCCGCCUUGGAAAACGUCCGCCUCUCCAAGGGUGGCGGGGGCGGGGUGUGUGUGUGCUCGUUCCGUGCCUCCUCUUGCCUUCGUGGACAGAGCCAUCCUUGGGGCCGUGUGAGGUCGUUUGUGGUGUUACAGGUGCCGAGGGAGGGUCCAGACGUUGAACGUGACGGGUCGAGUCCCGUACGCACAGUCGAGAUUCCCUCGUGGCCGUCCUCCCCGGGGCUCCCUGGCCGCCACGUGUGUGUAGGGUUUGAGGUCCUGCUUGGGGGACUUGCCUCGCAGGCCUGAGGUGGGCCAGGCAGCGCGUGGGUGGGAAGGAGUCCUGGAAGGCCGGGGUCCAGAAAGCGGGCCCGCUGUGGUAACGCCAGGUCCCUGGACGGGAGUGGGCUCCAGGUUCAGUCGGGUCUUAGCGUGGGUCGUGGUGGCCACAGACCACCUCUUCCUGGCACUUCCCCUGCCCUGGCACCGCUGAGGGCGUGGGUGUAGCCUCAGUCAGCAGGAAGAGGCGCCUGGCCCCCGGUCCCCGGUGGCGUGGCCACUGGAGAUCAGGAGGGGCUGCUGCUUCUGCCCUCUAGCCCGUGUCCCAGCGGCGCCAGCCUUCGAGUGGUGUAGGCGCUUUACGUGGUUCAGGUCCAGCAGUGGUCGGCGCGUUUCCGUCGGGCGCGGUUCGCGUGGCACGGCGUGCGGGGACAGCGGGCGCCCACGGUCGGGCGGAGGGUGAACCUGCUGGAGUGUCGUGUUCCGGUGUUCAGAGGCAGGGGCUGUGAGAGAGGGAGCCUGUGGCCUAUUUCAGCAGGCCGAAAGGGCAGAGGUGAGCCGCCGGGCGAGUCGAGGUCAAAGCCGCCAGCGCGAGCUCUUGGUCUCGCGGCAGGGCCUGAGGCCAGGGAUGUGUGCGGAAGACGUGCUUCUUCAGGGGCUCGGGCCCCGCGCACCCGAAGACACGCACACGCGCCCGCCUGCGCGCCUUCCUGCGCUUGUGCUGUCACACACGCCUUCUUGUCACACCUGAGGGGAAGAGGUGGGAUCUCCGAGCAAAGCUUGCCGUCGCCCAAGAAGAGAAGACCUUCCUGUCGUUUGUGGAGCGGAGACGCGAGGGAAUCCCGCAAGAAGCGUGGCUUCGGGUGCGCCCCGUGCCCGUGGCUCGCUGAGGCUGGGAAGGCUCGGCUGCGGUAGAUGACCUGUGCGGUAGACGGCGUCGCGCCCCCGGGAGGUUCGGCCCCCAGUGUUUGUCGUCCUAGCGCCUUGAAGAGACCCACAGGCCCGCGACUGGCCACCGGCCCCGUCUGCUCCGGAUUGCUGAGGCGGACAAUCUCUUUGACCCUGCGCCCCCUCGGGUCCGGCGCUUGCCAGGUGGAAGUGCCGUGCAAAGCUCGCUGCCGCCCACCGACAGAAGAAGACCCUUCGUGUCCCGUGACGAGCGCAGGUGCGAGGCAGUCGCGGCGGAAGUGUGGCCCGGGAUGCGCACCACGCCCUCGGACGGCCCAGGACGGUGGGAUCUCCGAGCAAAGCUUGCCGUCGCCCAAGAAGAGAAGACCUUCCUGUCGUUUGUGGAGCGGAGACGCGAGGGAAUCCCGCAAGAAGCGUGGCUUCGGGUGCGCCCCGUGCCCGUGGCUCGCUGAGGCUGGUGGAAGUGCCGUGCAAAGCUCGCUGCCGCCCACCGACAGAAGAAGACCCUUCGUGUCCCGUGACGAGCGCAGGUGCGAGGCAGUCGCGGCGGAAGUGUGGCCCGGGAUGCGCACCACGCCCUCGGACGGCCCAGGACGGUGGGAUCUCCGAGCAAAGCUUGCCGUCGCCCAAGAAGAGAAGACCUUCCUGUCGUUUGUGGAGCGGAGACGCGAGGGAAUCCCGCAAGAAGCGUGGCUUCGGGUGCGCCCCGUGCCCGUGGGUCGCUGAGGCUGGUAAGGAUCCCCCUGCACCCAGUUCGUGCCGUUGGCCCUGGGAGUCCCAGACCGCGCUGAGAGGCUUCUAGCCCGCGGGUCCCCGGGGGCGUGCGGAGCUGGCGCUCUGAGGGUGGGUCGACAGUUGCCCUUGCUCAGGGGCUUGGCUCGGGAUUCUCCGGGCCGCUGGCCGACCCUGAGGUGAUGGGCUCACCCGCCGAGCCCCGCCAGCUGCCCCGAAGGUGCUCGGAUCGAUGAUGACUCCCUCAAAUGCAUUCCUUGGAAAUCUGAACAAAAUGAGUGAGAACUCACUACCGUCGUUCUCGCCGAGACUGAGGUCCAGCACCUGGUCUUCUCCGGGGGUGAGAGGAGUGAGGGACAGCUUCUGGUUGAUGACACUCGCGCAGAGCCCGCCCAGGGCCUCAGCGUGUGGGCGUCUGCUGUGUUUGCACCGGGAGCGUGACCGCAUGAGCUGGACGUUUGCGACUCGGAGGGACUUGCUUGAAUGGCCGGCCUCUGCUGGCGCGGCGCCCGGGUCGCAUGGGCGUCUUUAGAGUCGGAGAGUGUGGCGUUGGCAUGGGCCCGGCCCGUGGUUGGCGCUGAGUACGCGCUGGCCCGGUUCUGGCCUGAGCCGUUGCCCCGGGGGGCGUGGCGGGUGGGGUGGCGGUCCGUGUCUGGAGCCGAACAGCCGAGUCUUCCCUGGGUUCCGUUCGGAGCCUCGGUUUGGGCCGGGCAAGCCGCAGCGCCUGUGGUUGCCUUCUGGCUUGGUGAGGAGGUGUGAUGGGCCCGUGGUUUUGGCGGCGGGGGCAGCGGCCCUAGGCCGCAGCGCUGCAGCUGGCAGCUCCUGUGUGUCACCUGCUCACCCGGGCCACACACAGCUGGCCAAAGGUGGCCCUGGCGCUGACGUCCAGGCAGUGUGGUGGCUGACAGGACGGGCAGGAAGGAAAGGGAGCGGAGGGGAGCGGCCGUAGUGCGGUUCCACGGGCUUGCACAGGAUGUACCCUCUUGUUGGGUUGCGACCGCCGUCGCGGUCUUGCCAGGGGUGGCGUUGGGUCCCAAGGGGGCUGCCGGUUGUUGCCUGCCAGGGAAGGCUCGGCUGCGGUAGAUGACCUGUGCGGUAGACGGCGUCGCGCCCCCGGGAGGUUCGGCCCCCAGUGUUUGUUGUCCUAGCGCCUUGAAGAGACCCACAGGCCCGCGACUGGCCACCGGCCCCGUCUGCUCCGGAUUGCUGAGGCGGACAAUCUCUUUGACCCUGCGCCCCCUCGGGUCCGGCGCUUGCCAGGUGAAGGCGUUGCUGCAGGAAGGUUCGCUCUUCCUGGCCCGGGGGGCUCCUGUGGUCCCGGGCGUGCCGGGGAGCGGGGCCAGGUGGCGGUGUGGGGCGUCGGGGGGGGGGUGGGGGGGCGUGCGCGAGGGGUGGUUAAGAGCGGUGUGCGGAAGCCUGCGGGCGUGGCAGCGACCCGAGGGUGCUGCGAUCCUGGGCGCCCUGCCCCGGACGCACGUCCAGCGUGGAGGAGGAGCACGUCUCCUUGUGUGGGAGCGGUGUCCUAGUUUCAUUCUUUGCCUUGUCUUCCAGGAGGAGGCAGCGUUUGUGCUCUGUGAGGUCGUCUGUGGUGUUCUGGGGCCGAAGGAGGGGGUCAUAGGUCGAGUGCGACGCGGUCGACUUAGGCAAAGUCAUAAUGCCUUGACGGCUGUCGUCCGGGAGGCUCCCUGCCCGCCUGGCGCGCGAGGUGUUGGAGGCUACACCUUGGGGGACUUGCUGUGCAGGCGUGAGGGGGCUUCCCCUUUGGAGCAGGGAGCCGCGGGGUUGAACGUUUCCUCGAAGGCCAGCGCCCCGCAACCCGCAGGCGGUGGAAAUGCCGCGUCGCUGCGUGGGAAUUGGCUGUGGUCUGAGACGGGUCUUGCCCCGGGUCUCGGUGGCUGUGACCAGCCGUUGCAGCGGGGUUCCCUGCUGGCCCGCCCAGGGCGUCUUGGCUUAGAUAGCCCAGACCGGAGUGCGGCCUGAAGGCGUCGGGCCCCUGGAGGUUCAGACGGGCUGCUUCUGUUGCGCCGCCCGUGGGCGAGUGGUGCCGGCUCUCGUGUCAGCCCUGUUGUCCUGGCGGUAGCCAGGUAGCAUUACCAUCAAGUGCCGUUCCCCCCGGCCCAGCUCGCGGGGACACGCUGGCCACGUUGACCUCACAUCCACGGUCAGCGUGAGGGUGUAGGUGGAUGGUCCGUGUCCUUUGCUCAGAAGGAGUGGCGCUCAGAGAGGGAGUCCGGGGCCGAUUGCAGCAGCCUCUAGCGGUGCGAGUUGGCGUCCUUCCUUGGGAAGUCACCGGGCUUCCGCGUGGGGUGGCAGGGCACGAGGUCAGGCAUCUGUGAGGACGGCGUGCUUUCCCGGGUGCUGAGGCCACCGCACACGGAAGCCCGCAGGCACGCACGCGCGCGCGCGCGCACACACACACACACACACACACACGUGCACAGGCCUGCGCAUCUGCCUACACUCGGGAUAUCACACGCGCCUUCGGUCAUCCCGAAGGGAUAGAGGUACAGGGCAAGCAGAUGCAAGGGUGCCGCGGGGGGAACUGUGGCACGGAUCCUGUCUUCUGACCAGCUGGGCACGUUUCUGAAGCAUGCGUGUGCUUUCUCUACACUCCUCAGGUGGAAGAGCCGUGCAAAGCUCGCUGCCGCCCACCGACAGAAGAAGACCCUUCGUGUCCCGUGACGAGCGCAGGUGCGAGGCAGUCGCGGCGGAAGUGUGGCCCGGGAUGCGCACCACGCCCUCGGACGGCCCAGGACGUUCAACAUAGAAUCAGCACUGGUUUUCACAUGAAAGAAUUUUUUUUUUUCUCCUUGAGAAGUAAAAUGACGGAGACUAAGUCUGGCAUCCAAACUUCACUGUCCAGUGGGAAUUUUCACACUGAAUGGAAGUGAUUUUGGAAGAGCAUGGAAUACUCACAACUGUAGUGAAGAAGUGCUGAUUUUGUCACUUUUACCUGUUCCCUUUCCUGAGAUGGAACAAAACAGUGCAAUCCAAAGGUCAACAAGAACAAAUCUCAGGUUUCAUAUGAAAAUGUUUAUUCCUUCUCCUUGAGAUAAGACAUGAAGGAAAGGCCCAUCCUCAAGGACCAGUGGGAAUUCUUAGAUUGGUGGAAGCAGUGGGAUUUGAAGCAAACUUCUGACAACAUCCAGGGUCAACAAGAAACGCAGAAAAUUUGCCAAGUCAUGUAGCUACAGCAUGCACAGAAGAAAUUUUGACUUGAAAUGACUGCAGAAUGAAAGAUUCUCCUCCCCAGAGAACCAAAGGACUGGGAAAUGACCAGAACGUAAAAGUGAGACUCUUAUGAGAAGUGAGGAGUCAGUCAUUCAGGAAGAUCUGGUAGGGAAGGGACAUUUUACUGCUUGGAAUUCUCACUGCCACUCUGAAGAAGUGCUGUUUUUGUCACUUGCACCAGCUCCUUUCUCUGAAAAAGAUCAAAACAAUGCACUCCAGAGGCUGACAUGGACCAAAAAGUGGGUUUCAUAUGAAAGAGUUUAUUCCUUCCCUUUGAGAUGUGAAGGAAAGUAUUGGGAAUAAUUCUACCUUCCAUCCUCAAGGGCCUGUGUAAAUUCUCACAAAGGUACAGAUAGAGCCUAGAAGGAAAGGGAAACUAUGCCUUUCCCUUUACUCUUGAAUGUCAGCUCCAGAGAAUGAGCUGAAAACUUCCUUCUUAGUCAGUGAUUCUCCAUUCCUACUGGUGAUCUUUUGGACACUCUUGCAGAAGAUGACUACUUGGGAAUUCUUUGGGGAGUGAAUGAUACCAGUAAAUCCCUGAAACAAGACUUUUCAGACAAAGAGCCUUUUCACUUACCUGUUGUUCAAGGGCCACCCUCUAAAGUCUUCUUGCAGGUGAUGACCUCAAAGGCGAGGUGGAUUUGUUACUGUGGAAGCCAUUACUUCUAUCACCAGCUUCACCAAAAACAAUGAUACAGUCCUCCUUAUGCAUGGAGACUCCUCUCUUUCCUGUGUUGCAGUGGACACCUCCUGCAGAUAAGAAAUGCUUAACUGAGAAAUGCUCAUAUUGGGAUAUCAUCGAUGAGACUUUAAUUUGGGCAUGGUGACUGUUUCCCUUGCUGCCACUUGACUCAAUCCCAGGAGCCUCAGUAGAGGAAAUAUUAUUGCACAAGAAACUCAAAAUGGUGGAAUUGCUCAGUGCUCCCAUAAAUAGACAUUUAUAAUUUUCAUUUGCCAUGUGGUGAAUUUUAAAAAUAGGAUAUAUUAAAAAGAAGCUGCAUGAAUUUUUUCAAAAAUUCAAAGCAUUUCUAAAUAUCUAAUACAGAAAUUAAGUGCCCUCCUCUCUCCCAAUUCUAACCCCCAGAGUUUUUCUUUAUUAAGGGAGUUGUGUGCAUUCUUUAAGUGGAUAAAUGCACACAUGCAAGCUAUUUCUGGAGGGUUCUGGAAGUGGGGCCAUGCUGUACACAUUCUUCUGCAAAUUGCCUUUCAUUUAAUAGUUUUUUAAAUGCCCUUUUUCUAUUUCAGUAAUAUACAUUUGUGUCAUUUGUUGAAUGACUGCAUGACUGUUUUGUAGAUGAAAUAUAAUUAAAUGUUUUGAUUAUUUCUCAGCCAUAGAUAUUUAUGUUAGCACCAAAUUUCUGCACAGUGAACCUCCCUAUUUAUUAAUAGUUUUGCAUUUGUCUAUUAUAUCAUGAUAAAUUACUUAGCAGUUGAAAUACUGGGAUUAAGAAUGUGCACAUUUCAAAUUUUGAAAAUUAUUGCAAGAUUUCCUUAAAAAUGUGGUGACAACUUAUCCUAAAAUGGCAAUGAAUAAGAUUGCCAGCUUUCCCACAACCUCACAGAUAAUGGAUUUUAUAAAUAUUUAAAAUCUUUGCCAGUGUGAUAGCCCAAACUAUUGUCUUAAAUUGUAUUUCUUUUGUUUUUGAGUUUGAUCAUUUUUUCAUAUGUUAUUAGCCAUCUGUAUUUUUUAAUUUCCUCUUUAUGUCUGAUUUUGGGAGUCGGGGGAGGUUUUAGUCUCUUCCUGAUUUUGAAGAGCUCAUUGAUUAUUGGGGGAAUAACCUUUGGAUUGUCAAGCAUUACAGAUAUUUUUUACACACUUUUAAACUUCAUUUUUGAUAUAAGAAUGUAUAUAAUUAUUAUGUGUCUAAGUAUAACCGUGUUCGCUUCUAUGGCUUCUGAAUUUCAUGUCAUUUUGGAAAGGUAUUUAAACUGAUUCCAUAAAACCCUUCAUAUAUGUUAACUUCUAAUUCUUUUGUGUUUUUUUAAUUCAAAUUCUGAAAUCAUAAGAAAUUUUUUUAUUUGAAAUCUUAAAGUUGCCAAGUUAUUUGCCAUUACUUGCGAUUAUUUGCCAAUAAUUGCCCAUUUAUCUGUAAUGCCAUCUUGCACAUAUGCUGUAUUCUCAUCUGUGACUGGCUCCAUUUUUGUUCUGUGGAUCUUUGCGUCUCUUCUUCUGCCUCUUGUCUCAUGUGUCUUCUUGUUGGAAGAAAUUACAGUAUAGACUGCAAUUUCAUCAACUUUAAUAAAUUAAUUUAGGGGAGAAUUGGUUUUUAAUAAUAUAAGUCUUCCUGUUCAAGGACAAGGUAUGUCUUUUUUUUUAUUCAAUAAUUUUAAUUACUGUUAAUAUUUUCACUUUGUGAUGGGGGUGUUUUCUUUCUGUUUAUUUUCUUGAUAAUUUUUCUGUAUCUGAAAGUUUUGUGUUUUUUUUUGGUAAGUGGUCAGCUUACACUUUCUCAUGGCUUCAGAUUUUUUCAAAGUACAUACUAAAUCCUUUGCAAAUACUAGUAGUUUUUAGUCUCUCCUUCAAAAUGAUCUAGAUUUCAGUUAUGUUGAUAAAGUUCACUGACUGGUACUUUCAGAGCACUUAAACAAUUGUGGAAAUGUCCAACCUUGAUUUAAUCAGAUUUUAAUGGAAUGCUUCUUGGUUUUGACUAGCACAUUAUUGUUGGCCUUUUACCCAAAAAGACUUGCAGAAAGAGCUAUGAUCAAGCAAAGCUGAGUUUAUUAAACCUACUGCAGUAAGGAAAAACACCACUUUGACAAGAUUUAGUAGUGUUUCAAAAGCAGAAAGUUAGGACUUAGGGGUUUGGGCUAAUGUGGUUUAAGGCAGGCUUUUCAAGGCACAGAACUGGUUAGGAAUGGGCAGAAUCUGUCAUGUAAUAGUUUAGGUUUGUGAAAGAGUAAGGACCUUGAUAUGAGUCUAGAUAACCAAAUUUGUGUCUGAUAAAUGAGCUGUUUGCCCAUGUGAGUUAGAUGUUAUCAAUGAGCUAUUUGCUUUGAUGAGCAAGCUGAAUCUACUUAUUGGUUUAUAGUUCAUUCUUGUUUAUAGGACACUGCUGGGGGUUGCAUGAGGUCUUAGUGCCAAUAGGUAAGUUAUUUUGAUGUGGGUAGUCUCAAUUGUCAAUUUAAUAUGCUAAUUUUAAACUUAAGAUAUGUUUUGUAUCAUGUUAGGAAAGUCUUCCACCUUUUAUAUAUUUCUGAAUAAUUUUAAAAUGAGGUGGUAGAUGUAAUCAAAUACUUUUUGCGUAAACAAUUAUAUUAUUCUUUAAUUAAACAUAUCAUUGUGAAAUAAUUCAUUUUCUGUUAAUGAAAUUUCCUUUUAUUGCUUGAAUGAACAAACCCUAUUUGGUAAAUAGAUGUUUUACUCUUUAAAUUUACUACUGAAUUAUAAGUAUCUUAACUUGAUUUGGAAUUUUUGCAAAUAUACUAUUGAAUGAAAUUGAUUUGCAAUUCUUUUUUGUUCUAUUUUUGUCAUGUUUUGAUAUCAGGUUUUCUGGUUGUGUUAAAAUAAUUUUGAGGAUUUUCUUCUUACUCUGUGUUCCAGAAUGGGUUGAAAAGCUCUAGCAUCAAUAUUAACAGUUAAGCAAACACAUCAAUGAAAUUAUCUGAACUCUUUUUUGUUUUUGAUGGCUUGGAGUAGAACUGAGGCUAACUAGAAAAUUCUCUCACUUUUUUCUAUUGUUAUUGCUUGUUUUUUAUUUUAUAUAUUUAACUUGCUUUCUCCUAGAAAAUCACAAUGCAAGCAGAUUUUCAAAGAAAGUACCACGAAGUUAUAUAAAGUGUUCUUUCAUCACUCUAUUAAUUUCUCUUGUUUCAAUUAAUAUCCAUUUUCAGUCCAGUUUUGUUUUUUUCUGCUAUGCAUUUUUAAUGAAAUAAGUUUGACUAGUGGAUUUCUAGCAUCACUAGCUCUCUCUUCCCCUCUCCCCAAGUCAACUCUUUGGUAUAAUUUAUCAGGGCUUUUUCUUUUUUUGAUGUUUUAAUUUAUUUAUAUGUUUUUAAUGAAUUUCUGUUUUUUAAAAGAAAUUCUUAAAUGUGUAAUCUACUUAUUUUCACUUAUUCUUGGUAGUGAAAUACUUUCCCUGUUGUCAAUUUUAUAAAGCUUUUCAUUAUGAACACAUUCUAAAUAUACACAGUAUAAGGUGAAAAGAACAGUGAGCGUGCAGAUACUGGGAACCCAAUUUCUACCAUUAUCAACAUUUCACCUUAUUUACUUCAUGUUAUUUUUGAAAUAUUUUCAAAUAAGUUAGAAGACUUAUUUCCCUCAGAACACUUAUUUCCCUCAGAAGUAUUUUAAAUACUUUUUUAAAUACUUAAAUUUAAUAAGUAAAAUAAAUACUUAAAUUUUGAGUUACAAAACUCAAAAUAUGCGAAAGGAUAUUCAGUGAAAGGUAAUUCACCUUCUCAAUUCUGUCGUCCAUAACUACCCAAUUUCCCCUUCCUGAUGGUUACUCAGGUUAUAGUUUCUUGUUUUUCCUUUCGGACAUAACACAAACACACACACACAAUCACACACAACCCCCAAAAUGUAUGUGGGUGUGUGUGUAGGUAGAUACACACACACAUACUAUUAUAAUUUUCUGCAACUUUCUGUUAUAUAUUUAUGUAAUACAUAAAUCUUUUAAUGUUUCUAGCAGAUCACUUCAUAUUGGUAUAUGAGGCACUUCCUUAUUUUUAAUAUUUGUAUUUUUACAUAGGUAAAAUUUAUAUAACUAAAUGCAUAGAUCUUAAUUAUAUAAUUCAGUGAGUUUUCUUAAAUGUAUAUACUAUGUAAAUACUACCUUAUUUAAGAGAGAGAAUCUUUUUAUUACUUGAGAACCUCCCCUACUGCCUCCUUCCAGACAAACCUAAUUCUCAUAGGAAACAAUGUUCUUAUUCUAUUGUCAUAGAUUACUUUUGUCUGUUCCUGAAAUUAAUAUAAAUGGAAUCACAUAGUAUGCAUCUGGCUUCUUCCACUCAUCAUGCUAUUGAGAUUCAUCCAUUUUAUUCCCUAUAUCAAUAAGUUAAAAAAUUUUUUUGUUGUUGCAGAGUAGCAUUUCAUUGAAUGGGCAUAUUACAAUUUGUUUAUUCAUUCUCCUGUUGAUGGACAUCUGGGUUUCCAGUUUUUAAAUAUUUUGAAUACGUUAGCAGAUUUUUUGUGUGAUUACCUAAAAAUGGAAUUCACUUGAUCAUAAGAUAGAUUUUGCUGAACUUUGUCAGAAACUGUCAAAAAGGCUUCUAAAGAGGUAGAAACUUUCCACCCUCUCAGCCAGUGAUAUGUGAUAUUUUCAGUUGCUGUCCAUCAUCACCAACCUUAGAAGUUGUUAGUCUUUUAAAUCUUAUUCAUUUGAGAGGGUGUGAGGUGGUAUCUUGUGACCUCAAUUUACAAUUUGGUCACUUAAGAAGAUAAACAAUUUUUCAUGAGGUUAGCUGCCAGUUAUAAAUUCUCUUUAGUAAGAUUUCUGUUUAAUUUCUCCCAAAAUUUUACUUAUUAUUUUAAAGUAAUUUUAGACUUACAGGAAAUUUGCAAAAAUAGUACAGAGAGUUCCUAUAUAUUCUUUGCUUUCCUAAUGUUAACAUCUUGUAUAACCAUUAUUGUAACAUUAAUACAUAUAACAAUUACUAAAAUCUAUAAAUUUUAUAACAUUGAUGUAAAUACUACUAACUAGUCUGAAGACCAUAUUUGAAUUUUGCCAAUUGUCCCACUAAUGUCCUUUUCUUCUAGUUCUGAAUCCAACUCAAAAUCUCGCAUUGUAUCUGUAAUUUUUUCCUUUGUCUCUGUACCCACCCCCCAAUCUGGGAGAGUCCUCGGUCUCUCCUUGUUUUCCAUAACCUUGACACAUUUGAGGAAUAUUAGACUGUAAUUUUGUACCAUAGUCCUCAAUUCAGAUUUGUCUGAUAUUUCCUCAUGUUUAGAUUAGAGUUAUGCACUUUGGUAAAAAUAGCACAGUGAUAAUAGUGUGUGCUUUUCAGUGGAUCAUGUAAGCAGUGCAUGAUGUCAAUAUAUCUUAUUUCUGCUCAUGUUAAAUAUGAUUACUUGGUUAAAGUGGUGUAUGCUAGGUUUCUCCACUGCAAAGUUACUAUAUUUCUCUUUGCAAUUGAUAAUAUUUCGUGAGGAGUUACUUUGAGACUAUGCAAAUAUUUUCUCUCAUCAUGUAUCAUACAUAUAUGCCUAAAGAUGGUUUUCUAUUUCCAUGAUACAUUCUACAAUUAUUCAUUAGAAUAUGACUGUAAGGAAGAGCUGCCUUCUCCUCCAUUUAUUUAUGUGUUCAAUUGUUGUUUUAUAUCAGUAUGGAUAUAUGAUUAUUGUGUUCCAUGAGUUUUCAUAUAUUGCAGUAAAUAUUUACUUUUAUUUCUCAAAUUAUCCAAGAUUUGACCAUUGGGAGCUCCUUUAAGUUGGCCCCUGUGUUCCUUCACAUAAUUUUUUGAGCACUUCCUUAGUUUUUGGUUCCACAAGAUGUUCUUGGCUUAUCUUAUAUUUUCCUUUCCCAAACCUGGAAUCAACCACUUCUUCAAGGAACUCUGGUUCUUUGUACUGGAAAAUAGUAUUUAGAAACUAAGAUCCGAGUGUUAGGUGUGCUCAUUGCUAUUGGGAUAUCAUUUCUUCUAGGCAUACUAGUGUGCAGAGUUGGUAUGUAGAAGUUUACUCAUACACGUAGGCACACAUCUAAAUUAUUUCUAUCUCUAUCCUUGUGUGUGUGUGUGUUUGUGUGUGUGUAUGUGUAUCUCCAUACUGAUAUUUCUGAUUACAAACCAUUAUCACAGGGCUCAUUUUAUUCUUUCCUCUUCCCUUAUUUGUAACCCCUUUCCCCAAUUGCAAGAAACCUACCUUUCAUUACCCACAAUAUGUUUUCUUAUUUCCUCAAUCCACUGUAUACAUUGUUUCAGAAUUGCUAAGCCAUACUCCUUUAAAAAAGAUAAUUACUAACUGAAGUACAAUAUUUAACUAUGGUUCUAUUUU